UGGUGGGGGUGGGGUGGGAAUGGAGGGGUUGCUGGGGGGGGGGAAGCCUGAGAGCAGGCCGCCAUCAGAAAUAGGAGUGCAUUCAUAACGGGAGACUAUCCCAAAAAGUUGGAUAGAGCUACAGACAGAUGACCCAAGGAAAACACCUUGUCUCUCUGUCUGCCUCAGAUGCCCGAGGAAUACUACAAGGUAGCUUCUCUGAGGGGUAGGAAGUGGCUUCAAGGAAGUGAGGUGUCCAAGAGAUCAAAGAGGGAACCUUUAGUCCUCACUUCAGGUUGCAGCAGGUCCACAUCCGUUCGUCUCAAUCCCAGGCACCAACAGUACUGACACGGAUGGAUGUUGAAAGAUGGAAGCCAGAAUGUCAGGAGGGACAGACUGGUAUAAAUGAAGAAGCUGCAGUCCCAAGGCACCUCCCAACUUUGUUAAUGGAAACCUACUGAUCCGUGACACGAGCGUGGCAGACAUCUGCUCGGGGUAAUGCACUGGUAAUGGAACUCCUUCACCAGCUUCACAAGUAAGUUACUGAGCACACGUUAACUUUGGAGUGGGAGUGUCUACAAAGCCAUCUGUCACAUGAUUGAAGACAAAAUGCUACCUGAUACUGGAGAGCCUAGGUCGAUUUUACUGCUUGAUGUAGGGGGAUUCAGUGAGAGAGACCACAGCACAUCCCGAAGUGGAGCUGAAUCGGAGUCAGGUU